ACAAGUAAACUAUGGGUCGCCGAAGCUAUAGGUCCCGCUCCGCAGUGCUGUCCGUACGCCCGUAGUGGCGGCGGGCCUAGACUCGGUUCUUCUCUAGUCUGCUGCGCGGCGGAGGAGCUUGCGCAGUGGCGGCUCUUUUCAGAGCGGAGUUUAUAGCAUCGACGGCGGAUUAAGAAUGUCCGCCUCGCCUGCUUGCUCCUCCCGGGGCUGCUGUGCGCUAAUUACUCAUCAGGUCCUGCUUGGUGCGCGUAUCAGGCCUACUAAUGGGAGCCAGGAGGCACUCUGACUGGGGACUUCGCAGUUCUUGAAUCCUAUAAAGUAGCAUUCUCAUAAAGCUUGAGUGGGUGACCCGAGCCGUGAACACGCUUCUCUCAAGAGGCGUACACUUGUUACCUCAUCUUCUGCCAAUCCACCAGGCCUUCGUUGCUACGGGCUGUUUCAGUGAACAGCCUAAGCUGUAGCCUAUAGCGUCAGAGGUGUCUGUUUCUAGAUUUAAACCAAGAAAAAA
rnacentral:lncRNA from 1 species